AAAUUGAAGAGUUUGAUCAUGGCUCAGAUUGAACGCUGGCGGCAGGCCUAACACAUGCAAGUCGAACGGUAGCACAGAGAGCUUGCUCUCGGGUGACGAGUGGCGGACGGGUGAGUAAUGUCUGGGAAACUGCCCGAUGGAGGGGGAUAACUACUGGAAACGGUAGCUAAUACCGCAUAACGUCGCAAGACCAAAGUGGGGGACCUUCGGGCCUCACACCAUCGGAUGUGCCCAGAUGGGAUUAGCUAGUAGGUGGGGUAACGGCUCACCUAGGCGACGAUCCCUAGCUGGUCUGAGAGGAUGACCAGCCACACUGGAACUGAGACACGGUCCAGACUCCUACGGGAGGCAGCAGUGGGGAAUAUUGCACAAUGGGCGCAAGCCUGAUGCAGCCAUGCCGCGUGUAUGAAGAAGGCCUUCGGGUUGUAAAGUACUUUCAGCGAGGAGGAAGGCGUUGUGGUUAAUAACCACAGCGAUUGACGUUACUCGCAGAAGAAGCACCGGCUAACUCCGUGCCAGCAGCCGCGGUAAUACGGAGGGUGCAAGCGUUAAUCGGAAUUACUGGGCGUAAAGCGCACGCAGGCGGUUUGUUAAGUCAGAUGUGAAAUCCCCGGGCUCAACCUGGGAACUGCAUUUGAAACUGGCAA
rnacentral:rRNA from 2 species